rnacentral:lncRNA from 1 species
AGGGUUAUAACUCGGAGAUGUAGGACUAUAACUUGGCGAGGUAGGACUGUAGCUUGGUGAGGUGGGGCUAUAACCAGGUGAAGUUGGGCUGUAGGCAGGUGAUGUUGGACUGUAAGAUGGAGAUGUUGGGCUAUAAGACGGAGAGGUAGGGCUGUAAGAAGGUGAAGUCGGGCUGUAAGAAGGAGAAGUUGGACUGUAAGAAGGUGAUGUUGGGCUGUAAGAAGGUGAUGUGGGGCUGUAAGAAGGAGAAGUGGGGCUGUAAGCAGGAGAAGUGGGGCUGUAAGCUGGAGAAGUGGGGCUGUAAGCUGGAGAAGUGGGGCUAUAGCUUGGAGAAGUAGGACUGUAACUCGGAGAAGUUGGGCUGUAGGUAGGAGAAGUAGGCGAAUACGAUGGGCUGGUGGGAGAAUAUGCAGGGCUUGUUGGGCUAUAACCUGGAGAACUAGGGCUAUACGUUGGAGAAGUUGGGCUAUAACCAG